GCAAUAGAUCAUCACAUGCCAUCAAGUAAGGUCUUUUAUUCAAUAUAAAGUUUAUCUGGUCUUAAUAUUUGUUUCCUCUUUUUCACAAUUCCAGUACGAUAAUCUUUAACUUUCCAACUUUGGACGAACCAAAAUCAUGCGAGGAUCUUUAUUUGGAUCAAUUUUUCAUGAUCUUCUUCGGAUCAACUUUUCAUGAUCUUUCUUGGAUCAAAUUCUCAUGAUCUUUCUCGAAUCAAAAUCUUCAUGAUCUUUCUCGAAUCACAUUUCCAUACAUAAGCCCAUGAGGGCUGUCUCAAACAUAAGCUUCUGACCGACUAUCUCUCGAUCUUUAUCGAAUCAAAUUUCCAUACAUAAGCCUAUAGAUGCUGUUUUACAUGACGAGACUAGUCCAAAUCAUAUCUUUUCUAUCCAAUUAUUAUAUAUUAAUUUUAUAAAUCAAUUUUCAGUUUUCAGUAUAAUCAAGAUAAAUAUAUUAUAUCUAUAUAAUCAUACCAUCAAUCAAACGUACUCAUGCUGAAAAAUUAUACAAAAAAUAAUAAUAUCUCA
rnacentral:lncRNA from 1 species